AUUGAACGCUGGCGGCAGGCCUAACACAUGCAAGUCGAGCGGCAGCGGAAAGUAGCUUGCUACUUUGCCGGCGAGCGGCGGACGGGUGAGUAAUGUCUGGGAAACUGCCUGAUGGAGGGGGAUAACUACUGGAAACGGUAGCUAAUACCGCAUAACGUCGCAAGACCAAAGCGGCGGACCUUCGGGCCUCUUGCCAGCAGAUGUGCCCAGAUGGGAUUAGCUAGUAGGUGGGGUAACGGCUCACCUAGGCGACGAUCCCUAGCUGGUCUGAGAGGAUGACCAGCCACACUGGAACUGAGACACGGUCCAGACUCCUACGGGAGGCAGCAGUGGGGAAUAUUGCACAAUGGGCGCAAGCCUGAUGCAGCCAUGCCGCGUGUAUGAAGAAGGCCUUCGGGUUGUAAAGUACUUUCAGCGGGGAGGAAGGUGCUGAGGUUAAUAACCUCAGCAAUUGACGUUACCCGCAGAAGAAGCACCGGCUAACUCCGUGCCAGCCGCCGCUGUAAUAC
rnacentral:rRNA from 1 species